GAUGAACGCUAGCGGGAGGCUUAACACAUGCAAGCCGAGGGGUAGAGUUAGCUUGCUAACUUGAGACCGGCGCACGGGUGCGUAACGCGUAUGCAACUUGCCCUACUGAAGAGGAUAGCCCAGAGAAAUUUGGAUUAAUACUUUAUAAUAGACUGAAUGGCAUCAUUUAGUUUUGAAAGAUUUAUCGCAGUAGGAUAGGCAUGCGUAAGAUUAGUUAGUUGGUAAGGUAACGGCUUACCAAGACGAUGAUCUUUAGGGGGCCUGAGAGGGUGAACCCCCA
rnacentral:rRNA from 1 species